rnacentral:rRNA from 1 species
GAUUACUGUAAGAAUUCCUAAGGACAUCAGAUCCCAUCUGAUCUUGGAAGCUAAGUAGGGUCAGGCCUGGACAGUAUUUGGGUGAGAGAUAGCCAAUGAAUGCCAGGUGAUAGAGGCUC